rnacentral:rRNA from 1 species
GCCCAGACUCCUACGGGAGGCAGCAGUGGGGAAUAUUGCGCAAUGGACGGAAGUCUGACGCAGCGACGCCGCGUGAGCGACGAAGGCCUUCGGGUCGUAAAGCUCUGUUCUUGGGGACAAAUAAAGUGACGGUACCCAAGGAGCAAGCCCCGGCUAACUACGUGCCAGCAGCCGCGGUAACACGUAGGGGGCAAGCGUUGUCCGGAAUUACUGGGCGUAAAGGGCGUGUAGGCGGCCAUGUAUGUCAGGUGUGAAAGGCCUCGGCUUAACCGAGGCAUUGCACAUGAAACUGUAUGGCUUGAGUGCAGGAGAGGGGAGUGGAAUUCCUAGUGUAGCGGUGAAAUGCGUAGAUAUUAGGAGGAACACCAGUGGCGAAGGCGACUUCCUGGACUGUAACUGACGCUGAGGCGCGAAAGCGUGGGUAGCAAACAGGAUUAGAUACCCUGGUAGUCCACGCCGUAAACGAUGGGUACUAGGUGUGGGUAGUUCACUCUA